GCGUCACCACCAGCACGGUGAAAACAGAGUAGGGCGGCUCUCGGCCCGGCGCUGUCUGGACCACACCGCCCGGAACCGGGCUGCUGCUGCUCGCUUCUGGGCCCAGGGAGAGAGCGACGCUGGCAGCGGCCCGGGAGAGAGAGCUCGGCAAGCUACCAAGAGUAUCCUGCCCGAACGGCAGAGCCUGGCAAGCUACCCGUGGCGUAUUCGACAUGCCAUAAACAAUAACAAUAAGUCUCACAAUGGAGAUGUUACUGGUGCCUGCUCGAGCAAAUCGAUGAACAAUGGGACAACAGUGCUACUACAGUGCUACCUAAGAUGAAUUCUCUUCUCCACACCCCCUCUGACCAACAGGGAUCAGAGAUUUAUCCCCAAUUCUGUAACUGAAACAUUAGUUCUUACGAAUGACUGAUAUUUGCAAUUCCUAACUCUAGAGAAACAGAGAGUCUCUUGCUUGCACGCCUGGCUGUCUUCCCCGGGGCCCCUCGGAGGGGAUGGGCUCCAGCUUCCCUCCCCGCCCCAAGCAGAGCUCCCGGUGGCCGAAGACCACCAGAACCUAGCCACAGCCAUGCUCAAGGCCCCUCUCCACACAUUCGGACAAGCCUCGCUCAUGAAGGUACCGGCAGAGGAAUCCAGCUCUUCUAUCCAUUUUUCUCUUCUCUCGUGUCAUCUAAAAAGCCUUGGAGCACUGGUUGAACUCUACAAGAAGGAAAUAUCCAACCUCAUCAGAAAAUGGGGUGAUGAAAUGAACAGAAACUUUCUCAAGGAAGAAAUCCAAAUAAGAGGCACAUGAGAAAAUGCUCUGCAUCACUAAUCAUCAGGAAGAUGCAGAUCAAGACCAAACAUGAAGGCCACUCAAUACCUCUAUUGCAAAAUACAACACCCAACAGGAGAGAGAAC